CACCUGAUCCCAUGCCGAACUCAGAAGUGAAACGCCGUAGCGCCGAUGGUAGUGUGGGGUCUCCCCAUGUGAGAGUAGGGAACUGCCAGGC
rnacentral:rRNA from 1 species